rnacentral:rRNA from 1 species
GAUGAACGCUGGCGGCGUGCCUAAUACAUGCAAGUCGAGCGAACGGACGAGAAGCUUGCUUCUCUGAUGUUAGCGGCGGACGGGUGAGUAACACGUGGAUAACCUACCUAUAAGACUGGGAUAACUUCGGGAAACCGGAGCUAAUACCGGAUGAUAUUUUGAACCGCAUGGUUCAAAAGUGAAAGACGGUCUUGCUGUCACUUAUAGAUGGAUCCGCGCUGCAUUAGCUAGUUGGUAAGGUAACGACUUACCAAGGCAACGAUGCAUAGCCGACCUGAGAGGGUGAUCGGCCACACUGGAACUGGGACACGGUCCAGACUCCUACGGGAGGCAGCAGUAGGGAAUCUUCCGCAAUGGGCGAAAGCCUGACGGAGCAACGCCGCGUGAGUGAUGAAGGUCUUCGGAUCGUAAAACUCUGUUAUUAGGGAAGAACAUAUGUGUAAGUAACUGUGCACAUCUUGACGGUACCUAAUCAGAAAGCCACGGCUAACUACGUG